rnacentral:lncRNA from 1 species
UCAUUUUUGGGGGGGGGGGGAAGACAGAAGGGUCGAGAGAGACCGAGCAAAAAAGAGAAAAGAAGGAAGAAAAAGGAAGAGGAAAAUAAGAAGAAUGAGGAGGAUGGCAAGGAGAUUUCAAGCGAGGGUUUUAAUUUCUUCAAUUUCUCACUUGAUUUAAAAUGGUAAGUGUAAGUUUGUAUAUAUAUAUAUAUAUAUAUAUAUUUUUGAUGUUAUAAAUCAGAAUAUAACAAAGUUUAUUUGGAUAUUAAGGUUGAAGAAAGUGGAAACUUCGAAAAUGGGUUUGUGAGAUAAAAGCAUCUACUUUGAAAUUCUUGGCAUUAUAUGAUGCUAAAAACUUAAAAUAAUGAUUUGAGGUUGAAACUUUCCAUUUUCAGCCUUUUUCGAGCUAUUGUGGUAUAAGUGCUAUUUUUGAAAUUCUACCAAGAAAAGCGCUAUAUAUGUCAAUGCUUUCGGCCACAAAUUUUAAUAUAUAGACAUUGGUGCUAGUUUUCAGUUUUCUAGAAUUAUAGUGCUAGUUUUGUCAAUCAUCUAAAUUUUUUUUUUUUGUGGAUUUUUAGUAUUGGAACCAAAUUAAGUGUUAAAUAUUUGGGAUUUUGUUGUUAAAAUAAUUUAUUUAAACGAGUAUAUGUUGUUAGUGACCUUAAUUGGGAUUAUGAGGUUGAAAAUAAAAUAUAUCAAGUUUCUAUUGGUAAACUAAUAUUUCUAAGCGUAGGAAAAUACUGAAAGCAUCUUUGUGAGGGGAUAUGAUUUAUUAGAGCGAGUGCGUGAUAUCAUACUUGAUAUUUGAAGUUGAAGCGGUGACGAGAAGAUUGAAACCAUGAUCUACCAUGACUCGGCGAGUGGAAAAAUUUAUAUAUUUUUAUAAAUUAAUAUUUGAAUUUUAAUAUUACAUUAUGUAAAUUUCUUGAACAAUUACAUUAUUAUUAUGAAAGGUUCUUUCAUUAUGAUAUACGUGAAAUCGUUAAAAGUUGUACAUGGAUCACUUAUGAAUUGGAAUGUGACAUGUGAUAUUGAGAUCGACCAGAAAAGUACCAUUGAUUAUAUACUUUUUCUAGUUCACAAAGGGAUCAUGGCCUUUUUCUUUUCUACAGGGAGGAGUCUUGACCUAACAUUGAUCUUGACCAUGUACAUACAGUUCAUAGAAGGGCCUUGAUCGUAUUCUAGAAUUGAUUACCAGAGAUUUUGAGACCGACUUUCGUUUACAGAGGGGCCAAAGUCCUAUGGCGAAAGUUCUUAACCCGAGGGGCGGAUCAUUAAUUUUAGUCAAAGGAUAUACUUUUGGUAGAUCACAUGUGAUGUGAUAAGAUGAUAGUAUAGAUAUCAGCUGAUGACUAUAUCGUAAUUAUGAGAUGAUAUUUAUAGUGUUAUGAGAAUAUCUCACUUUUUUGCUAUAAUUGUACAAGUCUAUCAUGUGAAUAUUAAACAAUAUAAAUUUGAUGUUUGAUAAAAAUGUUUAAAGGAGA